UACGUAGGGGGCGAGCGUUGUCCGGAGUACUGGGCGUAAAGCGCACGCAGGCGGUUUCGUACGUCUGGAGUGACAGUUCCCGGCUCAACUGGGAAAGGUCUUUGGAAACGGCGAGACUUGAGGGCUUCAGAGGGACACGGAAUUCCGGGUGGAGUGGUGAAAUGCGUAGAGAUCCGGAGGAACACCAAUGGCGAAGGCAGUGUCCUGGGAAGCAUCUGACGCUCAGGUGCGAAAGGCUAGGGGAGCGAACAGG
rnacentral:rRNA from 1 species